GAGCCUUAACUUAAGUAUUACAGCACGUAACAACUAGCAAUUAUUGACGAUUCAACACGUUACAGAAAGCCUGACUUAUUCAACUCAUAAACUAUUACUCAAGUGAAUAGAGAAACUGGCCGGAUUCAACUCAUUGACGAUUCCAUGACUCGGCCAGUCUGGACAAUCCAACAAAGGAGGAACCACCCUCACUCAGUGCCUCCUUCGCUGCGUUUUUCAUAGCAAUUGUUCGCUCCCUAACCGAUUUACCUGAUUCCGACUCCAUCAGCUCAAUAACUCGCUUCUCCACCUCCAACGCAGUUACAUACCCGUUCUCUGACUCGUUCAUCGGCAAAGCAAUUUUCAUUUCUUCCACCAACAAUACCCUGUUGAUCCUUUGCUCUGCGUAUAGCGGCCACGCCACCAUUGGAACUCCAGCACACACGGCUUCAAGCACCGAGUUCCACCCACAGUGAGUCACAAACCCACCAACCGAGUUAUGAUUCAAUACUGCUACCUGGGGAGCCCACAACUUCACCACGAGUCCCCUUUCCUUGGUACGAUCCAAGAAACCAUCAGGAAGCAAUGAGUUCAAAUCUGGGUCUGGCUGAGCUGAGAUGGCUAACCUUUGACUAUUAGAAGGUGGAUUACGCACUACCCACAAGAAUCUUUGGCCACUUCUCUCCAACCCAAUAGCUAUUUCUCUUAACUGUUCCUUUGAGAACAGCCCCAAGCUUCCAAAACACAGAAAGAUAACACUUUGACUCGGCUGCGAAUCAAGCCAGGUUAAACACUCUGUCACACCAUCUGUUUGAUUUUUUGUCAUAAUUAAUGGGCCGAUGCAAUAAACAGGUGGUGUGGUACUAUUGGGUAUGCAGAGUCCAUCUGAUAUUGCCUUGAGAGCUCUUACCUCCAGCAAUUCAAAGGUGUUCACUAUAAUUCCUGCUGAUUUUGAAAAGGAGGAAGCCACGUCUAGAAAGUAUUCAUAGGCUUUGUCGUUGCGAUCAAGUACUGGCAAAAACAUGUCGGAGGAAAAUAUUGGUGGCACACCCGGCACAUGAAGAAAGGCGUUCAGAUCUUUGAAACUUUUUGUAGUGUUUUGAUGAAGGGUCGGAAGAUGCAUGAAAAUAGCAAGAAACCCAGCACCAGAAGUUAAGAAGAAAUAGCCAGGGAUGUUAAGUUGGAAGGCAACAGAAAGAGAAGCAUAACAGAAGAAGUCCACAAUGAAGGCUUUAAUUUUGUGGGUUUUGGAGAUGGAAAGAAGAGCUUGGUGGACAUUAGGAUUGCUGAGACGGAGGACCUCAAAAGUGAGAGUUUCAUGGUGUCUGCUGCUGCUGCUGGUGGUGGAAGGGAGGGUGAUAGUGGGGAGAUGGUGGAAGCAGAUUGAGGGAAUGGUGGCAGCGACAUCAGCAAUGUAGGAGGCAGUGGAGCCAGCACUGUAAGGGGCAGAGAUAAUGAGUACGUGAAUGGAAAGGGAAGGUUGGAAGGUGAGGAUAAGCUUUCCAAGCUCCACCAUAGAUAUCAAGUGGCCUAUA
rnacentral:misc_RNA from 1 species